AGCGAUAGCCACUGCCUGUCCUGUGAACCCUGUAACGUUUUUCCCAGUUGGUCUGAGUUAGUUAUCUGAGAGGUGAUCAGUUAAUGAGAGACUGGGUUUAUACUAAUCUCCUUAAUUGGCACUUCCUGUGGUUGAUCCUUAAAUAGUGCUCAGCUGAGGCUGAACUUUAUGCAGCUUCCAUUUGGCUCUGGACACUUGAGCAACUGAGUGUCUGACACAUGUACAGAGCCCACAAGCUGCCAUGAGCUAUUUCUACAUGUAACUAGGUGACUACGCCUUGCAGCUUCCCCUACGUUAUAGGCUUUUUAACUUCAUUAUGUGAUCAGGCAUGUUGCCAACUUUGAAGGCCAUUCCACACAUCUGAGUGAUCUGGCUUGCCGUCCAGGUGAUUUAAGUGCCAAUCUUGAUAAAGGUCCGCAUAAGGACCGAAACGUCGAUGAAAUACGGCAUCAACAGUGAACCCGAAUAAAAAUAUACUGAAUUUACAAGUGACUUCAGAGACUAAUUUCUGGGCGUGAGUGCACCUUCCACCUAGGUGGUUGUUGUGGUAUAUUGGUGGCCUCUCAGGUCAUUAGGAGCACCCGCCGUCGUUAUUACUUUUGAUGAGAGUGCAGGAUCU